rnacentral:rRNA from 1 species
GACGAACGCUGGCGGCGUGCCUAAUACAUGCAAGUUGAGCGCUGAAGGUUGGUACUUGUACCGACUGGAUGAGCAGCGAACGGGUGAGUAACGCGUGGGGAAUCUGCCUUUGAGCGGGGGACAACAUUUGGAAACGAAUGCUAAUACCGCAUAAAAACUUUAAACACAAGUUUUAAGUUUGAAAGAUGCAAUUGCAUCACUCAAAGAUGAUCCCGCGUUGUAUUAGCUAGUUGGUGAGGUAAAGGCUCACCAAGGCGAUGAUACAUAGCCGACCUGAGAGGGUGAUCGGCCACAUUGGGACUGAGACACGGCCCAAACUCCUACGGGAGGCAGCAGUAGGGAAUCUUCGGCAAUGGACGAAAGCCUGACCGAGCAACGCCGCGUGAGUGAAGAAGGUUUUCGGAUCGUAAAACUCUGUUGGUAGAGAAGAACGUUGGUGAGAGUGGAAAGCUCAUCAAGUGACGGUAACUACCCAGAAAGGGACGGCUAACUACGUG